GAUUAACGCUGGCGGAAUGUAUAAUACAUGCAAGUCGAGCGAGAAAUUUUGGUAGCUUGCUACCGAAAUGGACAGCGGCGAACGAGCGAGUAACACGUUAGAACCUGCCCCGAACUCAGGGAUAAGCACUGGAAACGGUGUCUAAUACCGGAUAGUCUCGAAAGAGUAAAGAUUUUUCGGUUCGGGAGGGGCUUGCGGCCUAUCAGCUUGUUGGUGAGGUAAAGGCUCACCAAGGCUACGACGGGUAACUGGUCUGAGAGGAUGACCAGUCGCGAUGGGACUGAGACACGGCCCAUACUCCUACGGGAGGCAGCAGUAGGGAAUCUUCCACAAUGGACGAAAGUCUGAUGGAGCAAUUCCGCGUGAUUGAUGAAGCGUUUAGGCGUGUAAA
rnacentral:rRNA from 1 species